CUUGGCGGCUUUGGAGUGUCUGCUGUUGGGUGCGGGACUCAAGGGUCUGAGGUCGCUCGCUGGGUGGGGUCCAGACGCCCGGCUCCUGGCUGGCAGGGCGGUUCAGGAGCCUCCCGCCUAUGGAGCCCAGCUUCGCAAGGCGUCGCCCCAGGACUUCCGAACCUGGGGAGGUUAGAUACAUCAAAAUUCUUCUCUUUCUGUGAACUAAAGCCCUCAUCUCUGGCUUUUUGGAAAGCAAGUUCUAGAUCUCUUUUUGGUGUUUGACUUUUAUCCCAAGGAUGUGGAGCAGCAGCCAGUCUGGCCAGGAAACAAAUGCUGGAUAUCUACAAGAUGCCAAAUUUGCAAUAAUUAAUUUUGCCACAAAUGUCAUCACUUCAUUUUAGGAGUUUGGAGCCAAAAUAACUGGUGUACAGCUGCAUAAUGAAGAAGAAAGUCUGUAUAGAAAUACUAGAAAGCCAUGACAGAGAGCCAGAGAACAGAUGAAACACAGAAAUCAUAUCUUUUUUUAUAGAGUCAUUCUGAGCAACAUCCAGAAAUGUGUGCUUCUACAUCUGGUGAGUUCCAUCAAAGAGCAAAGAAGAAAAUAAAUGGACAAGUACAUGGACUCACUCUGUUUUGUGAAACUUCCAUGAUUAUGUCUGUUAUUCCUGACAAGAACUGAAAUUACUUUCUCUGGAAUUACCUCUGAUAUUGGCCAACUUCUAUACUGGGUAAUAACCGUGUGACGUGUGAUUUAUUCCUUUUCCUGUUUAGUCCGUCAGUUCCUGGAUUUGAAUGGACCAGUUUUAUAUCACAUUGGUGUCAACAGCUUUAUUUAUUUCUAUGGACAAAUGACUUUGUCGUAAGGGUUAGAGAAGAUAACAAAUCCCAGUGACGAUAUAUUUCUAGAGGUAAGGAUGAAUGGAAACUUAAAAAGUGGGGUCAUCAGCCUGAGGCAGGAAAUGAGAAGAGCAUGGAAAGUUUGGAGACAAAUUUCAAACCAUAGUAAUAUUGACCUUAGAUAUUUAAUUAACAUUAAAUAAAUAACAUGGCAUAGAGAAAAGGGUUAAAUGGGAACAUGUUUCUCUGACAAUAUAGGGAUUGCUAAGGAGAACUGCCAGAGGACAGUGCAGCAGAGAAAGGGAUCAAGAUACAGAGUUUGUACAAUUUCUAUCAUGAAAGUUUUCUAGGAAAGGUAAGAUGCUUGGAUAUCCACAUUCUAAAGAGGGCUGAUGGUCAUACAUGCAAUACAUGCAUAAAUAGCUGGAACAAUCUCAAUGCUAUGGGCAGUUGAACAUGAGGAGCAUGUGCAUGAAUGCAGUUGAAUAAUGAGAAGGCAGAAGUGCACUAGGAAGUUGAUUCAGGCCUGAAUUGGUGUGUGUGGGGGUCUUUUCAGAAAUAUUAGAAAAAUUUCAGUGACUUGUGAUAAUGAAGGUUGACUGAAUGAGAAAGAAAGAAGCUGGGCCCCAGGAAUGUGAGAUUCUGCACCUGACUGUUACUCAAGGUUUCAAAUGAGAUAUGUAAUAAAACAUACCACCUGUGAAUGUUGAUUUCUUCUAUCAUGUACUUUCUCCUAUGGCAAUAUCUUCCUAUAUUGAGGGAACUUCUUUAGGAAAUUUUUGGGCUUUUUUUGAAAUUUGGAUAUAUACAAAACCCACCAGAGAAUCAGAGAGGUCUGUGGGAGAGGUUCAGCAGGAGAGAAACUGCUUAGUAUGCAAAAGGAUCUGGUUCAGUGCCCACCAUUAAGAUGAAAAUAAACAAACAAAACAUGUCACAGAAAUAUAAGCAAACAUUUCAUCAGUAUGUGCAAGUAUAUUCUCAACUCACUACUUAGUUGAAGAGUUAAUUUCCUCAUGCUUUUACAGAAAUAUUUUAGAACUUGGAUGCAAUCAUCAAUACAUAUGUGUUGAGCCAAAUCCUCCCAACACAUUGAGCAAAAAAUAUACAUCAUGAAUGGUGAGUUUGAUAUCAUUUCAAAAUAUUUAAUAUAGGUUUCCCAAAGAAAAUAGUUACCUGAUUUGAGUGUCCAUGAAGUCUUCUUCCAUUUUUCCUUUUUUGGAAGAGAAUCUUUGCUUAUGAUCGUAGGCUUGAUGUGCUUAGAAAUAAGAUAUUAUGUAAAUGUUUUACAUUGUAUCUAGCAUGUAUUUUAAUAAUGUAACAUAAACAAAGAAGUUGAAUUACCUUUCUGGUAAUUCUGAAAUACUAAAAAGGAAAUGAGAAAAAUAUUCAACAAAAUCUGAACAUAACAAAACUACCCACAUAUUCCUACUGAAUGAAUAUAGACCAGAGUCCUGGUGGUUAUCAAUGAUGAAGACUACUUUAGCUUUCGGACUUCUGUAUUUGUAUGUGAUUUAUUGUUGAGUAUGGCCACAAGACUGAAAUGUACUAAAUGUAAAUUGGGUUUUGUAAAAUUUGCAGCUAAGUUUCCUAUGGUAAAAUCAUGUUUCAAUGACCAAAAAUACAGAAACAUUGUUUUAAAUACUAAUGUCAAAGUGCAGAAUGCUGCAGAGCACAUCAUCUGUAUUCACAGGAGCAAGGAAGGAACCUGAGAUGUUCAAAGUCAAAGCUGAAUUAAAAUAUGGCAGUACAUAUCUCAAGUGAAGCCUAUCAAAAAUAUAUAGGUCAUUUUAUUGUAAAUAUGUAUCCUGUUCCUCAUUUUUCUUAUAAUUACUAAGUCCAAAAUUUUUAUAAGAUUCCUGAGAAAGGUGUACUACAUUUCUCAUUAGAGAGAAUUUUCUGAGCUAGCUCAGAUAUGUUAUUAGAAUAACAGCAAAUACAUGUAUGGGUGUUUUAUCAUACCCAUGUGGGAAACUGGUUCAUCUUCUUUUCCAGAAUCCUUUUUUUAAACCAACAUCUUGUUUCUUUUUCCACUCUUUUGCAAGAUACUGGUCUCACAUCCAAUAAAAAAUUAUGAUAAAGCACAGAGAUUACAAUCGGCAGGGAAAGUAUUCUGAAAACUUGCAGAAUUAUUAGAUAUCAAUAAGCUAUUGUAUUUCAGUCAUUAGUAUGUACACUGAAAAUAUGAGUCUUGCUAUUCGAAGAUAAAUUACAAACAACUUAUAGUUUAAAAAUGACUCUGGGAUGGCAUAUCUAGACAGCUUUUUGUAUUUUUCUGAAAGACCUAAUUGAUCAGAAAAUUAGCUAUCUAGCGUUCAGAAAUUAACUCAGUGAUAAGAGUGAAUUUCUGACAUGCUCAGGAACAUCCAACUCAACAACAUAAUGAUAAAACAAUAAUAAUAAGGACAAUAAUAAAUAAAAUGAAAAUAUUUUCUGUCUAAAAAACAACCAAUAUUUCAAAAAUGCUUGCUUGCUUAUCUGAAUGACUCUUAUGGAUGCUGUAUUCAUCAUGGUGCCUAAUAGAUAUGGUGGAAAGAAAUUGGUAGAUGCAUGUUGCACUGAUUCUUCUAGUCCCUACUGGUGCAAAUCAUCUCUGAACUAGGAAUACUAUCAACUUUGGUUUGAAGGAAGACACCCUGAAAACACUAUAUAACAUUCUCUAAGUUUUCUCAUUUUCCUCAGUAAAAUUUUCCUAGUUUUCUCAUUUCCUCUUUGGUCCCUCCCUCCCUUUCUCUUCCCUUUAGCUUUGCCCAAGUAACCUCUAGAGCUGGGAGCUUGAUUUUUUACAUUUUACAUUCUUUGUAUGAGUCACUUUCACCCCCUCUGGCCUGUCAAUAUGGCAAAUUUUUCUUAGAAAUAUGAUGUCUAUGUCUUUAUCUUUUGAACUCUUCACACUUCCCAAGUGACAUGCUCAGAAUGAAAGCAAGAUUUAUGCUGGCACUUGAUCUGCUUGUGUCCUGAAUUGUAGGAACAAAUAUCUGUUCAUUUAUAUUUCCCAAAUGGACAUCCUAUUAGUGGCUCCAAAAUAUGCUAUCUGCAGAUUAAGAUCUUUGGAGUCACCUUAGAAUAUAAUUGACAUGUAGAGGCAAAGACCUGCUGAAUAAGAAUGAACUUUUAAACCUGGUCCACAAGAGAUGAUUCAUUAAAGUUUCAGGCUUCCAUAGUGAACUUUUUUGGCUUCCAAUACCUCUACCUUAACUUGAAUGUAGCUUUGUGUUUCUCCCUAGGAUUUCCCCCUCAAAGUGAAAGUUUAGAAAGAGCAGUAAUCUUUCCAAAGUGAAUUUUAGGUAUCUGUGGAUUUGUGGAUCACUCCACAACCAUUCAUACUUGUUUCUAAUUCCCUUGUUUAUUUUUCUGCCCUGUAUACUUUUUGUAGGUAGUCCCAACAUCUUUUUAUCACUAAAUUUUACACCUUUAUAAUCAUUUGUGGUAAACAAAAUUAGCACUGUGGGGUCACUUCUUCAGCCCUCAAUUUUGUGAGUAAGUCAAGAGGAAUGGGAAAUUUUUACUCUACCUCUAAUUUAAUUUUGGAAAUGGAAACUCACAAAUUCUUCCACACAUUGAAAUCCCUGCUUUUUUUCCUUCUUAUAUAUGAUUUGUUUUUGGUUUUUUGGUUUAUUUUUUUUUAUUUUUUAUUUUUUUUUAUUAUUAGUUGUUCAAAACAUUACAAAGCUCUUGACAUAUCAUAUUUCAUAAAAUUGAUUCAACCAGAUUAUGAACUCCCAUUUUUACCCCGUAUACAUAUUGCAGAUUCACAUCUGUUCCACAUCCACUUUUUUACAUACUGCCAUACUUGUGUCUGUUGUAUUCU